rnacentral:rRNA from 1 species
AGCCUAACACAUGCAAGUCGAACGGUAGCACAGAGAGCUUGCUCUCGGGUGACGAGUGGCGGACGGGUGAGUAAUGUCUGGGAAACUGCCUGAUGGAGGGGGAUAACUACUGGAAACGGUAGCUAAUACCGCAUAACGUCGCAAGACCAAAGAGGGGGACCUUCGGGCCUCUUGCCAUCAGAUGUGCCCAGAUGGGAUUAGCUAGUAGGUGGGGUAACGGCUCACCUAGGCGACGAUCCCUAGCUGGUCUGAGAGGAUGACCAGCCACACUGGAACUGAGACACGGUCCAGACUCCUACGUGAGGCAGCAGUGGGGAAUAUUGCACAAUGGGCGCAAGCCUGAUGCAGCCAUGCCGCGUGUAUGAAGAAGGCCUUCGGGUUAGUAAAGUACUUUCAGCGGUGGAGGAAGGUGUGUAGGUUUAAUAACCACAGCAAUUGACGUUAACCCGCAGAAGAAGCACCGGCUAACUCCGUGCCAGCANACAGCGGUAAUACGGGAAGGGGUUGAGCAAAGGCGGUACCAAUCGGAAAUUAACUGGGACGUAAAAAACGG